UAUAGAACUCUUACCUUUGAG
rnacentral:piRNA from 1 species